GAGAUCGUGGUGAAGUGGAUAACACGUCAGGUUGUGGCCCUGAUACUGCACCGGUUCGAUUCCGGUCGAUCUCCCCA
rnacentral:tRNA from 2 species